UAAGAACACUGGAAACAGUUUUGUUUAGA
rnacentral:piRNA from 1 species